UUAGUUACUAUACAUCUUUGUUAGAGGUAUUAUUAAAAAAGAUAAUUUUAUUAGAUUGUUUUUGUAUUAAAUAUUUAUGAAUAAUUGAGUAAUGAGAGCUGUAAAGGUCAAAUUAAGACUAUUUAGAAGUAGAAAUUUUUGUACCUUUUGUAUCAGGGUUUACUAAAUUUUUUAAUUUAUUUUAUUUUCCCGAUGAAAAAUGAGCUAUAAAGUUUAAGUCUCUAUUGUGGCAUAAAUAGAAGGGAGUAUUUUAUAGUAGUGAGAUACUAUCGGAUUUUUUGGUAUCUGGUUCUAGUAGAAAUACUAUUAGAUAUACUAAGUUUAUUGAUUAUACUUGGAUAAAGGAUAUUAGGGUUAAGCUUAAUGUUUUAUUUCUAUAUUAUAUAGUAUUGAUUAGUUAUGGGUGGGUUAGUAGUGCCCUUAUGUUUUAUAACAUAAAUGGAUAGAUAAAAAUUAGUUAGGUAUGCUAGGGUAUGAAUUAAUUUAUAUUUAUCUCAAAAAUGGUAAAAUUAGUAGAAUUUGUAAAUUUUUGUAAAUGAGUUUAGAUGCUUAUAUUAAAAUUUUAAGAUUUUAAGAUACUAGAGGGGAAUUCGGCAAAAAAGCUCUUUAACUGUUUAUCAAAAACAUUUCUUUAAGGCCAGAAUUUAAAGUAAAUUCUGCCCCAUGAUAUA
rnacentral:rRNA from 1 species